AUGACACCAUUCUGUUUUCAGUAUCAAGUGUAGCCAUUUGCAAUUCAUCAUUUUUUAAUGAUUCAAAGAUAAAUUUUUUUCGAAAUAUAAACUUCUUCAUUCGAAGAAACAUUAUAAGUUUUUCAGUUUUAUCUAAUUGAAAUAAUUUACGCACGGAACCGCUUUAAAAUGCUGAACUUCAAACACACUGAUGUCACCGUAACAAUUUCAAUAAAGCAAUGAGUCAGAUUCUUAAUGGUCCAUGACGUGUCCUGCGACUUGUCUACCCAGUCCCUCGAAUGUAGUUGUUUUCGUGAAACCGCAUGCAAUGGAAAGUCAUCCGUGCCAGGUGUGUGUGCCAGCAAUAUUUUGUACACUGUUAUUGUUAAUGACGGGAACCCUUUAACACCAAUUAGCAUUAAAAAGAAAGCAGGAAAACACAUAGUCCUACAGUAAUUAUUUAAAAGUCACGAGAGUCAUAAGGAAGACCUUAACCUUCAAGAAAUUAUUAUCUACUCGCUAAAGUUCAGCACUUAAUAGCACUUCUUCAUUAAUUAUUUUUCUUUUCCGUGCUUAUUUGUUUUUAAGAAGCAGACCAAAAGUUUUAUUACAAUUAAGUAUGAUGAAUAUUACUAGUUAACACUAAUAAAAUAUUACAAAUAAA